rnacentral:rRNA from 1 species
UGCCAGCCGCCGCGGUAAUACCGGCAGCUCAAGUGGUCGUCGCUUUUAUUGGGCCUAAAACGUCCGUAGCCUGUAUGGUAAAUCUGUGGGUAAAUCAACCAGCUUAACUGGUUGAAUUCUGCAGAGACUGCCAGACUAGGGACCGGGAGAGGUGUGGGUACUCUAGGGGUAGGGGUAAAAUCCUGUCAUCCUGAGCGGACCACCUGUUGCGAAGGCGCCACACUAGAACGGAUCCGACGGUCAGGGACGAAGCCUAGGGGCACGAACCGGAUUAGAUA